GUUUCUGCUUCAUCUGUUUCAAGUAUAUCAAAUCAUUUGAUCCCAAAUAUUUUGCAUGUAAGCAAUGGUCUAAAUCUCUUUUGAGACUAAUAUUAUUUCCUAAUGACCAGCUAUUCUUUCUGAGAUUAGAUUGCUUUUUUAAGUGAUGCUCCUGCUGCUGCUAAGUCACUUCAGUCGUGUCAGACUCUGUGUGACCCCAUAGACGGCAGCUCCCCCGUCCCUGGGAUUCUCCAGGCAAGAAUUCUGGAGUGGGUUGCCAUUUCCUUCUCCACAUCCCUCUGAUUCUUUCUUAGAAGGAAAGCAGGCCACUUUAGAUAAUCCCAUGACUCUUUGGUAAAGGACUUUUUUUAUUGCUGAUUUUAUUUAUUCCCAGAAGCCCCUGGAAACGGUUCCUCCCCCGCUGCUGACCUGCUGUCUGGAAUUGAGGUUCUGUGGUGAACUAGGUGGUUGGGCCAAUUAUCUAGCCGUCAAGACUGCCUGGACCUCAGCCUUCUCCUUACACAGAAUUAACUGAAGAUAUACAUUCUGAAGGCAUGGAAGUACCUCUCAAACUACUGUGAUCAUCCUGUCCCCAAGGUGAGUCUGUCCUCGUAUUGUCCACAAACGCUUCAUCCAGUAUAAUUCCAAGUGACGACAGGAAACAGGGGCUGCUGCCCCUCACUUAAACAGCUCUCCACUGUGAUGGGACUAAUCGAUUUGGGGGAGAUUUAUCCUGCUGUGUGUGCCUUCCUCCCAAUAACAUUGUGUGUUGCUCGCUCUCUUUAAGGCCUGGCUUAAUCGAUGCUAUGAAUCCAAACCACAUUUCGAGCUCCUGUUAAGAAUCCAGUGCUUCUGAGUAUUAGCUUAGUAGCAAUCAGUUUAACCUCCCCAUCAUGUAUUCUAUUGUGAGAGGAGAUAUAAAUUAGGCUUUAGAUUGCUUAUUCUGAGUAGCUCAGGAGCAGAAUUUUCAUGAAAUCAUCUUGAAAAUCCAGAAGACCCUAUAUCAUGGCACCAUAAUCCAGUUUCUUCCUCAUUCACCCAUCUG
rnacentral:lncRNA from 1 species